UAGAUAGAUUCCGCGGAGGGGUGGGUGGGGGGGCCGUCACCUGGGUGUUGGAUUGGGAUAAGGGGGGGCGGGUCCACCUAAUGGGUUAGUUAUUUUGAACCGCAUGGUGGGAAUUGCCAGAUGGUUUCGGCUAUCGCUUACAGAUGGACCCGCGGCGCAUUAGCUAGUUGGUGAGGUAACGGCUCACCCAGGCAACGAUGCGUAGCCUACCUGAGAGGGUGAUCGGCCACACUGGGACCGAAACCCGGCCCAAACUCCUACGGGGGGCAACAGUAGGGAAUCUUCCGCAAUGGACGAAAGUCUGACGGAGCAACGCCACGGGAACCAUAAAGGCCUUCGGGUCGUAAAGUUAUGUUGUGAGGGAAGAACAUGUACCAUAGUAACUGCUGGUACCUUGACGGUACCUAACCAGAAAGCCACGGCUAACUACGUGCCAAUAGCCACGGUAAUACGUAGGUGGCAAGCGUUUGCCGGAAUUAUUGGGCGUAAAGCGCGCGCAGGUUGUUUCUUAAGUCUGAUGUGAAAGCCCACGGCUCAACCGUGGAGCGUCAUUGGAAAACUGGCGAACUAGAGUGCAGAAGAGGAAAGUGUAAUUCCAAGUGUAGCGGAGAAAUGCGAGGAGAUUUGGAGGAACACGCGACGCCAAGGGCGACUUUCUGGUCUGUAACUGAACACUGAGGGCGCGAACACC
rnacentral:rRNA from 1 species